rnacentral:rRNA from 1 species
GACGAGCGCUGGCGGCGUGCCUAAUACAUGCAAGUCGAACGAACCGCGACUAAGUGCUUGCACUAAGUCAAGGUGAGUGGCGAACGGGUGAGUAACACGUGGGUAACCUACCUCAUAGUGGGGGAUAACAGUCGGAAACGACUGCUAAUACCGCAUAGGACAUAGGAUCACAUGAUCCAGUGAGGAAAGGUGGCGCAAGCUAUCGCUAAGAGAUGGACCCGCGGUGCAUUAGCUAGUUGGUAGGGUAAAGGCCUACCAAGGCGAUGAUGCAUAGCCGACCUGAGAGGGUGAUCGGCCACAUUGGGACUGAGACACGGCCCAAACUCCUACGGGAGGCAGCAGUAGGGAAUCUUCCGCAAUGGACGCAAGUCUGACGGAGCAACGCCGCGUGAGUGAAGAAGGUCUUCGGAUCGUAAAGCUCUGUUGUUAGAGAAGAACAGCGCAUAGAGUAACUGCUAUGCGUGUGACGGUAACUAACCAGAAAGCCACGGCUAACUACGUG